ACUCCUACGGGAGGCAGCAGUGGGGAAUCUUAGACAAUGGGCGCAAGCCUGAUCUAGCCAUGCCGCGUGAGUGAUGAAGGCCCUAGGGUCGUAAAGCUCUUUCGCCUGUGAAGAUAAUGACUGUAGCAGGUAAAGAAACCCCGGCUAACUCCGUGCCAGCAGCCGCGGUAAUACGGAGGGGUUAGCGUUGUUCGGAAUUACUGGGCGUAAAGCGCGCGUAGGCGGAUUAGUCAGUCAGAGGUGAAAUCCCAGGGCUCAACCCUGGAACUGCCUUUGAUACUGCUAGUCUUGAGUUCGAGAGAGGUGAGUGGAAUUCCGAGUGUAGAGGUGAAAUUCGUAGAUAUUCGGAGGAACACCAGUGGCGAAGGCGGCUCACUGGCUCGAUACUGACGCUGAGGUGCGAAAGUGUGGGAGCAAACAGGAUUAGAUACCCUGGUAGCGACUGA
rnacentral:rRNA from 1 species